GACGAACGCUGGCGGCGUGCUUAACACAUGCAAGUCGAACGAAAAGAGGGAAAGAGCUUGCUCUUUCCGGAAUUGAGUGGCAAACGGGUGAGUAACACGUAAACAACCUGCCUUCAGGAUGGGGACAACAGACGGAAACGACUGCUAAUACCGAAUAAGUUCCAAGAGCCGCAUGGCCCAUGGAAGAAAAGGUGGCCUCUACCUGUAAGCUAUCGCCUGAAGAGGGGUUUGCGUCUGAUUAGCUGGUUGGAGGGGUAACGGCCCACCAAGGCGACGAUCAGUAGCCGGUCUGAGAGGAUGAACGGCCACACUGGAACUGAGACAGGGUCCAGACUCCUACGGGAGGCAGCAGUGGGGAAUCUUCCGCAAUGGGCGAAAGCCUGACGGAGCAACGCCGCGUGAGUGAUGACGGCCUUCGGGUUGUAAAACUCUGUGAUCCGGGACGAAAAGGCAGAGUGCGAAGAACAAACUGCAUUGACGGUACCGGAAAAGCAAGCCACGGCUAACUACGUA
rnacentral:rRNA from 1 species